rnacentral:rRNA from 1 species
UACGGAAGGCAGCAGUGGGGAAUAUUGCACAAUGGGCGCAAGCCUGAUGCAGCCAUGCCGCGUGUAUGAAGAAGGCCUUCGGGUUGUAAAGUACUUUCAGUCGUGAGGAAGGUGUUAAGGUUAAUAACCUUAGCAAUUGACGUUAGCGACAGAAGAAGCACCGGCUAACUCCGUGCCAGCAGCCGCGGUAAUACGGAGGGUGCGAGCGUUAAUCGGAAUUACUGGGCGUAAAGGGCACGCAGGCGGUUAAUUAAGUUGGAUGUGAAAUCCCCGGGCUUAACCUGGGAAUGGCAUUCAAGACUGGUUAGCUAGAGUCUUGUAGAGGGGGUAGAAUUCCAUGUGUAGCGGUGAAAUGCGUAGAGAUGUGGAGGAAGUACCGGUGGCGAAGGCGGCCCCUGGGACAAAGAACUGACGCUCAUGUGCGAAAGCGUGGGGAGCAAAACAGGAUUAGAUACC